rnacentral:rRNA from 1 species
GACGAACGCUGGCGGCGUGCUUAACACAUGCAAGUCGAACGGAAAGGCCCUGCUUUUGUGGGGUGCUCGAGUGGCGAACGGGUGAGUAACACGUGAGUAACCUGCCCUUGACUUUGGGAUAACUUCAGGGAACUGGGGCUAAUACCGGAUAGGAGCUCCUGCUGCAUGGUGGGGGUUGGAAAGUUUCGGCGGUUGGGGAUGGACUCGCGGCUUAUCAGCUUGUUGGUGGGGUAGUGGCUUACCAAGGCUUUGACGGGUAGCCGGCCUGAGAGGGUGACCGGCCACAUUGGGACUGAGAUACGGCCCAGACUCCUACGGGAGGCAGCAGUGGGGAAUAUUGCACAAUGGGCGGAAGCCUGAUGCAGCAACGCCGCGUGCGGGAUGACGGCCUUCGGGUUGUAAACCGCUUUCGCCUGUGACGAAGCGUGAGUGACGGUAAUGGGUAAAGAAGCACCAGCUAACUACGUG